GGCCUUAUCGUCUAACGGUUAGGACGGAGCCUUCUCAAGGCUCAAAUCGGGGUUCGAUUCCCCGUAAGGUCA
rnacentral:tRNA from 1 species